UUUUAUCUGGGUUGGCCCUGCCAGUAGUCAUACGCUCGUCUCAAAGAUUAAGCCAUGCAUGUGUAAGUAUAAAUAUUCUACUUUGAAACUGCGAAUGGCUCAUUAUAUCAGUUAUAGUUUAUUUGAUGAAAUGUACUACUUGGAUAACCGUAGUAAUUCUAGAGCUAAUACAUGAUCAAUUCCUCGACUUUGAAGAGGUGUAUUUAUUAGAAUGAAAACCAAUAGACUUUGUCUGUUUGUGAGUAAUAAUAACUUGUCAUAUCGCAUGCUUAGGUAGCGAUGUGUCUUUUAAGUUUCUGCCCUAUCAGCUUUCGAUGGUAGUGUAUUGGACUCCCAUGGCAGUAACGGGUAACGAAGAAUUUGGGUUCGAUUUCGGAGAGGGAGCCUGAGAGACGGCUCCCACAUCCAAGGAAGGCAGCAGGCGCGUAAAUUACCCAAUCCUGACACAGGGAGGUAGUGACAAUAAAUCACAAUGCGGAACUUUUGUUUUGCAAUUGGAUUGAGAACAACGCACAACACUUAUCGAUAAACAAUUGGAGGGCAAGUCUGGUGCCAGCAGCCGCGGUAAUCCAGCUGCC
rnacentral:rRNA from 1 species